UGACCCUUUCACAAUGUGUUUUCAUGUUUCAUGGUAACUUUUUGGUUGCCUAAAAAUGUAUUGUUCAGCGGUCAGUUGUACUAAAAGAUAGGAGUGAGCUGUUAAUUUUUUUGGUAGUCCACAAACCAAUGGUGAAGAGAAGAACAUCUAGUCAGUUCAUCUGUACAACCCAUGACACAUAUGAUAACUCCACUUCUGCAGUCUGGACAGAUGUACUCACUUGUCGCAGUGGCAGAUGUAAAAGCCAAAACCAGCAGCACCAGUGUCAGAGUCGUCAUCCUGGAUUUGGUUGUGUGUCUCUUCUCUCUGAACCCUGAUCCUCACCCAGCAGUCCUGAACCCCAACACAACUCCCAGACAGACUUAAUGAACGUCUCCUCAGUCUCUUUAAGAAAGCCUCAGACCUGAAUUACCAUAAAGUUUCUUCUCACCUCUGACAUCAUUGGGAGUCUGCAAACUGGCACCGCCCCCUCUGUUC